GACGAACGCUGGCGGCGUGCCUAAUACAUGCAAGUAGAACGCACAGUUUAUACCGUAGCUUGCUACACCAUAGACUGUGAGUUGCGAACGGGUGAGUAACGCGUAGGUAACCUGCCUGGUAGCGGGGGAUAACUAUUGGAAACGAUAGCUAAUACCGCAUAAUAUUGAUUAUUGCAUGAUAAUUGAUUGAAAGAUGCUAUUGCAUCACUACCAGAUGGACCUGCGUUGUAUUAGCUAGUAGGGGAGGUAACGGCUCACCUAGGCGACGAUACAUAGCCGACAGGCGAGGAGGGGCGGCCAGCAGGGGACUGUGACAGGCCCCAGUCGCCUGCGGGAGGCAGCAGUAGGGAGUCGUCGGAAAUGGAUGGGGGACUGACCGAGCAGGGCGGCGGGAGUGAAGAGGGUUGUGGGAGAGUAGAGCUCGGUGGUAGGGUAGGAACGGGUGUGAGAGUGGAAAGUUCAGACUGUGACGGUAUCUUACAAGAAAGGGACGGCUAACUACGUG
rnacentral:rRNA from 1 species